GUGCCAGCCGCCGCGGUAAUACGGAGGGUGCGAGCGUUGUUCGGAAUUACUGGGCGUAAAGCGCGCGUAGGCGGCUAAAUUAGUCAGAUGUGAAAGUCCACGGCUCAACCGUGGAAGUGCAUUUGAAACUGUUUAGCUUGAGUAUCAGAGGGGGUAGUGGAAUUCCCGGUGUAGAGGUGAAAUUCGUAGAUAUCGGGAGGAAUACCGGUGGCGAAGGCGACUGCCUGGCUGAAUACUGACGCUGAGGUGCGAAAGCGUGGGGAGCAAACAGGAUUAGAAACCCCAGUAGUCC
rnacentral:rRNA from 1 species